rnacentral:rRNA from 1 species
UACGGGGGGGGCAAGCGUUGUUCGGAAUUAUUGGGCGUAAAGGGCGCGUAGGCGGCUUUGCAAGUGGCGGGUGAAAUCCCUCGGCUUAACCGAGGAACUGCCUGCCAGACUGCAAGGCUCGAGACCGGGAGAGGUGAGUGGAAUUCCCAGUGUAGCGGUGAAAUGCGCAGAUAUCAGGAGGAACACCGGUGGCGAAGGCGGUUCUCUGGGAGUUACCUGACGCUGAGGAGCGAAAGUGUGGGGAGCGAACAGG